GUCAAGUUCAUUAAUGAUUCUCAAGAAGACAUCUUGCGCUUUGAGACCCCUGCACUCGUAGAAAAAGACAAAUUUUCAUGGUUUAGGGAUGAGGAAUUCUCACGACAGACGUUGGCUGGUCUGAACCCAUAUAGCAUACAAUUGGUCAAGGAAUGGCCAUUGAGGAGUAAACUCGACCCUAAGAUCUAUGGGACUCCCGAAUCUGCUAUUUAUUGAGCGAGAAAUCAGAGGCAUGAUCACCCUUGAAGAGGCAUUGCAAGAAAAGAAGCUAUUCAUGCUGGAUUACCAUGACUUGCUCUUGCCAUAUGUGAAGAAAGUGAGAAAGAUAGAAGGGACUACACUCUAUGGAUCUAGGACAUUGUUCUUCCUGACACCAAACGGCACGUUGAGGCCGUUAGCGAUUGAGUUAACUCAGCCGCCCAUGGAUGGUAAGGCUGAGUGGAAGCAAGUGUUCACUCCAACAUGGGAUGCUACUGGUUGCUGGCUGUGGAGGCUUGCUAAGACUCAUGUUCUUGUUCAUGAUUCUGGCUAUCACCAGCUUGUCAGUCACUGGUUAGUAAACUCCACUACCUAUUUCUCAAUUCUGAUUCAGUCUUGCACCAUCUAUA